rnacentral:rRNA from 1 species
UACGGAGGGUGCAAGCGUUAAUCGGAAUUACUGGGCGUAAAGCGUGCGCAGGCGGUUUGUUAAGUCCGUUGUGAAAGCCCCGAGCUCAACUUGGGAAUUGCAGUGGAUACUGGCAGGCUGGAGUACGGUAGAGGAAGGUGGAAUUCCCGGUGUAGCAGUGAAAUGCGUAGAUAUCGGGAGGAACACCAGUGGCGAAGGCGGCGACCUGGGCCAAUAUUGACGCUGAGGUGCGAAAGCGUGGGGAGCAAACAGG